rnacentral:rRNA from 1 species
AACGAACGCUGGCGGCAUGCCUAACACAUGCAAGUCGAACGAGAUCCUUCGGGGUCUAGUGGCGCACGGGUGCGUAACGCGUGGGAAUCUGCCCUUAGGUUCGGAAUAACAGUUAGAAAUGACUGCUAAUACCGGAUGAUGACGUUAAGUCCAAAGAUUUAUCGCCUGAGGAUGAGCCCGCGUAGGAUUAGCUAGUUGGUGUGGUAAAGGCGCACCAAGGCGACGAUCCUUAGCUGGUCUGAGUGGAUGAUCAGCCACACUGGGACUGAGACACGGCCCAGACUCCUACGGGAGGCAGCAGUGGGGAAUAUUGGACAAUGGGCGCAAGCCUGAUCCAGCAAUGCCGCGUGAGUGAUGAAGGCCUUAGGGUUGUAAAGCUCUUUUACCCGAGAUGAUAAUGACAGUAUCGGGAGAAUAAGCCCCGGCUAACUCCGUG